rnacentral:rRNA from 1 species
UACGGGGGGGGCAAGCGUUGUUCGGAAUUACUGGGCGUAAAGGGUUCGUAGGUGGCCAACUAAGUCAGACGUGAAAUCCCUCGGCUUAACCGGGGAACUGCAUCUGAUACUGGAUGGCUUGAAUUCGGGAGAGGGAUGCAGAAUUCCAGGUGUAGCGGUGAAAUGCGUAGAUAUCUGGAGGAAUACCGGUGGCGAAGGCGGCAUCCUGGACCGAGAUUGACGCUGAGGAGCGAAAGCUAGGGGAGCAAACGGG